rnacentral:rRNA from 1 species
GACGAACGCUGGCGGCGUGCUUAACACAUGCAAGUCGAACGGAAAGGCCCUGCUUUUGUGGGGUGCUCGAGUGGCGAACGGGUGAGUAACACGUGAGUAACCUGCCCUUGACUUUGGGAUAACUUCAGGAAACUGGGGCUAAUACCGGAUAGGAGCUCCUGCUGCAUGGUGGGGGUUGGAAAGUUUCGGCGGUUGGGGAUGGACUCGCGGCUUAUCAGCUUGUUGGUGGGGUAGUGGCUUACCAAGGCUUUGACGGGUAGCCGGCCUGAGAGGGUGACCGGCCACAUUGGGACUGAGAUACGGCCCAGACUCCUACGGGAGGCAGCAGUGGGGAAUAUUGCACAAUGGGCGGAAGCCUGAUGCAGCAACGCCGCGUGCGGGAUGACGGCCUUCGGGUUGGAAACCGCUUUCGCCUGUGACGAAGCGGGAGUGACGGUAAUGGGUAAAGAAGCACCGGCUAACUACGUG